GACGUAGGGCGCGAGCGUUGUCCGGAUUUAUUGGGCGUAAAGAGCUCGUAGGCGGCUUGUCGCGUCGUCCGUGAAAACCUGUGGCUCAACUGCAGGCUUGCGGUCGAUACGGGCAGGCUAGAGUUCGGUAGGGGAGACUGGAAUUCCUGGUGUAGCGGUGAAAUGCGCAGAUAUCAGGAGGAACACCGAUGGCGAAGGCAGGUCUCUGGGCCACUACUGACGCUGAGAAGCGAAAGCAUGGGGAGCGAACAGG
rnacentral:rRNA from 1 species